AGUCGAGCUGUUCACUACGUUUCUUUUCCUCUCUGUUACUGUUAUUCGUUUCACCAGGUUAUUGAAACUCGGAUUUUUUGAGGCCAAUAGCAGACGAUUAUUUUCAAAUACUCUGCCAGUUUGUGUUGAGUUGUGCCAGUGUUUCGUGUGUUUGUUUUUUUCUCGUGAGUGAAACCUGCCAAUGUGAAAAAAGGGGGAAUUGCGGCUGCCAUGCAUAGAGAAAAGAAAAGAUAAAGAUUUGAAACGCAGAGCUUAUCCUAGUGAUCCCCGACUAUCAAUUAAAAGUGAUUGAAUGACUGAUUCCAGAACACGACGUGAGAAAGACUAACUUGGUCAAGUGUGAACCUAUUGGCCCUCUCCAUACGCUUUCAGUUCUACAAAAUAAUCAAUCACAUAAAAACAAAAAUAAACAUUACAGAAAAAACGUCAAAUUUUUUUAAACACAAAAAAAACCUCAAGGUCUUUUUAUCGUUUUUUUUCUAAUUCGAUUUCUUUUGAUCGAUUUCAAUCGCCUCGUGUCUCGCUUGCUUUUCGUCUGCUGGGCGCCAAAUUGGUGAGUCGCCUUUAUCGACAGAUCGGAUUAACAUCGGUGUCGAAUCUCUUGUUAGUUUUUUUUUUUUGCUGCAAUUGGAAUUUUCCUCAUCAGUUGUCCGUCACGGGCUACCAAUCUUUAAAAAGAUUUCAAUCACAACGACGCAGUUACGAAGAAAUAAGAACAACCAGAGCAGCUCGAUCUGAUUUUGAUUACGAGGUCGCCUAUCCUUGCCAACCUGGACACUAUUGCAAUGGGUCGUUAUCAAACAGCAAUAUCCGACAGCUACGCAUUUGCCUGCGCGUGAAAGCGUGUUUUUUUUUUUCUUCUUUCUUUCUUUGUGUGCUAGCGUGAUGCGGCUGCUGAUAAAUGCAGAGCGCACUCUGUUAUACAUAUACAUAAACCAUAAGGCUCUUCUUCUGACUUUCUCCGCUUCUCAUCUGGAGAGCUUCUCCGGAGUAAUAACAAGAAGGCAAACGCGAGAAAAUAAAAAAGAAAAAUAGGCAAAAUUUGCUACUCUUUUCCGCUCUUCAUCCGUAAGGCUCAUCAACUGUGUUCUCAAAAUAAGAAACAGAGAAAAGAAUAAAAUAAGGGAGAGAGGGAGAGAGAGAGAGAGAGUUGGGGAACGAUAUUGUCACGGCCAUGGAUCUUUACCAAGAUAGAGACGUCGUGCUUCAGAUUAAAAGAUAAUGUGUAUUUCACCACAAGGUUCCAUAACACAACUGCAAAACUAACUGCUCUAACCAAUUAAUCAAAAAGCCCCCACAGGUGUGCCAAGUCGCCCCUUUUAUAUCCGGCGACGAGGGUGGUGCUCCAAAGGACGGCCAUAACUGGGGCGGGAUUUCCAUCCUAGCGCUGUUGUCGCUACCGCGGUGACGAAUCGAAUAUUUCCGACGCGACAUCCCCCUCCUUAAGUCGCGACUCGUCCCGAUCGCGCUCGUGUGCCAGGAAAAUAGAAGUCUAAAAUCUAAUAUUUGUGUUACGGGGUAGAGGGAUUACAGGGUUAGAGGAAUUACACGACAUUGACUUCAUUUAUAGGGGGGAAUAAAGUAAAUAAAAGCAUUUCUCAUGAAUAAAAGUUGGGGCCGCCGCCGACCCAUCUAGCGCUCGUAGCCUCAAUACUCACCGGCCGACCAAGAGAUGGCGUGGCCAGUUAGUGUCCUUUUCCAACCACGCUAUUCAGUCUCUUCUCAUGUCCUCACGUUCUCGCCGGCUUCCAUCACGUCCGUUUGGUCCCCUUUCGUCCUCUCUUCCUUCCCGAUCGGGUGUUGGUGAUCGUGGUCUCGUAUUACCCGAGUUGGUCUCGCAAAAACGAGCAAUAUGACCGGAGCGUCCACAUCGGUAGCAGAUUGGUUUUCCGUCUACUGUUCGAGAAGUAUUCUCCCCUCCCAGGCAUAAUUGUUUAGUCCCUCGUUCCAGCUCUUCUAUCCGAGCUGCCAUAUCGCGUAUUAAAUUUUUUAACUCGUCAUGCGACCCUGGGCGCGUGCUGUCUCGCUUUGCGUCGGACUCGUAGGCUUUUUGUUUCAACGGAGUUCGCCUUUCUUCGUAGUCAGCAUACGUGACUCGCUUGGCUGGAAUAGGUUCCUUCGCUUGUCCCAUAAAAUUAACUACCUGAUGCGGCUUCUCUGAAUCCUCAUAUGCCCUAGUAUAAAUUUUUAAUGCUCUAAAAAAUUCAUCUGUCGUCCGGGGCUGUUUAAUUGUCAUUUCUCGCUUCAAAGGCUGAUUAAGCCCACGCAAAAGAUAAUCUAUUUUCUUCGCUUCAGACAUCAUAGGGUUCAGCCUACGGCACUGAUUGAGCACGUCAUAGAAAUAUCCUACGACCGUUUCCGAAGCCUCCUGCUUCCGAUUACGUAGCCUAGCUUUAUGAUAGCGGUCGAAAUCCUCCGAGCGAAAUGUUUCUAAAAAUCGCGUUCGUAGGCCCCUUAUCCCGGUUUCGGCCUCCCUCCCAGGCGCGGCUUCACGCGGAGCAACAUCGUCCCAGACCACCUGUCCUAUUUGACAAGCUAGCCAAUCCUUUGCUGUGCCUUCUACGAAUAAUCCAAAGUAUUCCGCUUUCUCAGCGGGACCCCAUCCAUUAAAAUUGGCGGUCCUCUCGAAACGUUCUAUCCAUUCAGCGGCGUCAUCGUCUGGUCCUCCGCGGAAAACUGGUACUUCACGAUACUGCGAUGGAUGAGCCGGUGCACGCUGAGCGGCUCCUCCUGCCUGUGCAGGUACACGGGCGGGAGGUCCAUCAUUUCCUCUAAAUUCCGCACGUUGGGCCAUUUCAAGCGUUGGUGCUAUAACGAGCGGUAAAGCUCCAGAAAAAUCGUCUAACCCCUUAUCUCUUCCUUCCCUUGCGCACUCGUUAAAAGGUUCCUUGCUUUUCGGCUAUCUUCCGUUGCUCCCUCGGAUCAAUACACGUUUGUUCUCCUA